CAAAUUUCUCUUUUUCUGUGUAGAUUUGGAAUCCGGACCAGAUUCCUUUGGGCUGAGCACCCCACCUACCCACUAAAGGUGCCCCUUUGGGGGUGGCCACAGGAAAGCAUAAACUGAGGAGAGUCUCUGGAAACAGUUUAAGCAGUAAGUAUUGCAGUUAGUAUGUUAAUCUCCCAUGUUAAAAUUAGUGCAGGACCCACCAUUAUU